CUUCUCCUGGCCAUGGUUGUGAGGCCUCCCCAGCUAUGUGGAACUAUGUUGAGAAGGAACAACAUGAUCUAAGUCUUUAGAAACCAAGAGCCACGACUAGCUGAGGACACAAGAAUUUUCACAAAACAAAGUAGAGUGAUUCCAUAGAUCACUAUUAUAGCUGCAUUACCAGUCCUAGGACAGAAUAUGGAUGCUGAAAAAUGAUUCUUUCAAAGUGCUGAGUUGUUGCCUCACGCCCAGUUGUCUGGCAUCUCUUCACUGAAACUAUUACAGUUAGAUCUCAUCUCUAUGGGUGGAAGAUUUUUCUCUGUUGCCCAGGCUAGAGUGCAGUGGUGCGAUCUCAGCUCACUGCGACCUCCUCCACCAGGGUUCAGGGGAUUCUCAUGCCUCAGCCUCCAGAGUAGCUGGGAUUAUGAUCAUGUGCCACCACACCUGGCUUAUUUUUGUAAUUAUAGUAGUGAUGGUGUUUUGCCAUGUUGGCCCAGCUGGUCUCGAACUCCUGAACUCAAGUGAUCCACCCUCCUCGGCCUCCCAAAGUGCUGGGAUUAUAGGCAUGAGCCACCGUGCCCAGCUGUUUUUUACUCACUUUUUGUCUCACAGUCAUUAGGCAUUCAUUUCUGCCAUUAUGUUGAAAUUGUCAAUAUUACCAAAGACCUAGUUGCCCCAAACAAUCAACACCUCUAUGUUUAUAUUAAUUGAUAAUUCUAUAUUUUUCACUAUUAACCUACCAUAGUAUCCACUCCUAUAAACUUCCCUUUUCAUUGUUUUUUUGUAAAUACAGAUCAACUUUGCUAUCCUCUUACAUCUGUGCCUGCUUCUUUGUCUAUCUCCUUUGAGAUCUUUCUUUUUACUGAGAGCAAAAUUUGUCCUAGUUUCCCAAUGUUUCUCUCCAAACCUUUUUUUUUUUUUUUUUUGAGACAGAGCCUUGCUUUGUCGCCCAGGCUGUAGUGCAGUGGCACAAUCUUGGCUCACUGCGACGACCUCUGCUCCCCAGUUUUUUU
rnacentral:lncRNA from 1 species